CCAGCUUCUGAAAAUAAUUGAGACAUAAAUCCACAUGUUUUUUCUGUGUUCAUCGCAGCCGAGUCAUGUUCUCUUCUAACAUGAUUAUGAAUCGUAGCAGCUGAAGAGAUCCGUCCAGACUUGACCGAAAGGUUUGGGAGUGACUCAUGUUUCCUGUUUUGCAAGCCUCAUUUUUAGCCCAGACAGAGCAAUUGGAUUCCAAUUAAUUCGAUACAUAGUUCCCAGAAAUCUGAACGGCGCCAACUUGGUAGGCAAGUGUGGUGUAAAGGAUAGUGGACUCAUGGCCACCAAGAAGAAAAUAUGUGGAUGCUGUUGAGAGGAAUACAUAUCUGCAAAAUAGCUGAUAAAGACUGAAACAUGUGAGGCGACGUGAACGAGCUGCCUCCGAUCUCCCACUAUAAAAUAGUUCACUAUUUAAUGAUCACAAAGAUCAUUAAAUAUUGCGUACAACAUGGAGGAGCUUCACGGCUUGAAAUCCAUGGAUGCAUAUAAUCAGUGUUUAAAUGGAUUUGUAAAGGACUUACAAACUCUUUAGGUGAAUAAUAAGGUUCUGAUGACUGGCAACAAACCCAUAAGCAACAUGUCCGUCUUAGCUAGCAGAUAAAAGCUACAUUAGCUAAGCUAACUUUGCUGGUACAGUAAAUGUCACUGAUAUUUAUCGUAGUAUUACACAGAGGUGAGUAGAGUGGUAAAAAAGUUGCAAUGUACUUAUAUUUUUAGAAACAAGUCGAGAGCUAGUUUUAAGCUUGUAGCUUGUUUAUUGUUGUCAUAGCAACUCCAUAGCAACUGCCUACCAAGAUGGCUGUCAGCUACAAAGUUCAUUGGAGUGUGACGUAAUAUGAGAACUGGGUAAAAAGAAAAUACUGCAUGAUCUUUAAAAGUCUGCUGGACUACAAACCACAUCUUCACCGUACUUUGGUCAAGCUGAAUAGUGUUCACCUCUGUGGAGUCAAAUCAUCAGCACAGUACAUCAACUAUUUAAAAGAUGACCUGCAUGCUUCCUUGAACAGGUUAGGAUGGGGCUAUGCACAACACCAAACAUUUUCAUUAGUUUUUUUUUUACACAAAAUCCUUCUAUGAAGUGAGAUUUUAUUCUGGUUGGUUCUGCCUAGUUUGAGCUUCUGUCAGAAUGAGCUGUUUUCGGGCUUCCUGUCACUUUACAUCUAAAUAAGCUGCUGCUGGCCACACCCCCCAACUCAACGUUUACACUCGCAUGAAAAAAUGGCAACAAACAGAUUCACUUCAAUUCAAAUCCAGCAGUAAUUUAAUGAUCCCAGCAGCCAUCAUACAGCUAUUACCACAGUAAACCCAGCUGACCAAACGUGCUGGAGCUCAGCUGGGGUUGCUUGGUGACAGGCGGAACUCUGCUGGGGUUGCUAGGUGAUGGGCAGUGCCUGCUGAUUUGUUACGUUACAUUCCAGAGAUUUUUAAAACGGGUCACCAAAAAACAUCAACUUGUUGCCAAAAACCAGUUGGGUGUUUUUUUUUUUUUUUAAUGAAGCACUUGGGCUGUUUUUAGAAGCAGUAGAAACCCAAAUGGAAGUUCAAAAACUGUAAAAAUUGUGAUGCGUUUGAAUUAUACAUCUCCAUUAAAUCUCUAAAGGUGACUGUGUUAGCAAUGGCUUCCUCCACUUUAUAUCAAAAUGGCUUCACAUACAGCAAACUGCUAGAUGAUAAUAUUGUAGCUAGUAGAAAAGUUUUCUGGAUCAUCUGAAGCAUCUUUCAGUUUCAGUUUGGAAAACAGCAGGAUGAGACAACAGCCAUCAGAAACUGAAAUAGAGUUUCUUUUUCUAGGUAUCGCUACUGUUUAUGAAUGACAGAGACUAGAUUCUGAUGCAGGUUUUAGGUGAAUCAGGUAAACAACAUAUGAACAGCAUCCUCCUUUCCUACAAAGAUAAAAUAUGUAGUUUAAAAUGUUGGAAAGUAUCUUAACUAAUCUUUGAAUGGAGUUUUAGCUGUAAAGUAAAGCUUCAGAACAACAGAAAAUCCUGAGCAAAAGAGAACGUAGAACAGAGAUUGCUCACAGGAGGAAAUCAGAGGAAAUCUUUGCUGUGUAUAAGAGAAAUUUGAUAUAAGAUAUGUA